UGAGGAAGGAGGCACGUGGUCUCUGAAAUAAUUGUAUGCGGAAGGAGAAUAAACAUAUUUACAGGUAAGGAAAAACACCUAGUUCUUUUCUUAACUUAGAGUAUUUCUGAUAUAUAUUGAUCAGACACCUGAACAUGCCUAAGAUCGGUCAAAAUGAGACGAAUUUUUUGCUUCAAAUGAAAUUUGGAUCGAAAGACACAUCUUUGAGUUGAAUCAAUAGUCAAAACCAAGGACUAUGAAGGACGAAUUAGAAAAAAGCAGAGAUAAGUCCAUCGACUGGUAAAAUAAUACCGACAUUUUAUUAGAUACUAGUAUGUUCAAAAAGUUCCCAAAAUUACUACCGUGUGGCACGCUUACUGACCCGAUUCAAAUUCUAUUUUUUGUUGCGCCACAUCUGUUACUAACAUUACCUCUGAAUUUUAGUAUCAUAAUUCAAUAUUUUCGCUACAUUUAUCUGUGCGCAUGUUUUCAUUUUUUUACAAUUCUAAAAGUGGAAUUGAAUUUUUAACGACGAGUCUGUCUUAAAUUUUACCAAUUUCACAUUAUUUCUAUUGCUGCGAGCCGAUAUUCAUCAAACGUGUCAUUACUGGAGACGAGACAAAGGCUUAGGACUAUGACAGACAUUAGACGAGUGGAUCGAGUGGUACGAAUGAGUGGAGACUGAAAAAAGAAAAAGUUGUUUUCAUUUGGAAAGAAAGGUCUGCAUUGAUUAUAACAGUGUUGGGCACCACCAAUUUUUGGCAGAAGGACAAACAACUAGUGGACUUUGCACUACGAUAAGGCAGCGCCGUACAAUGUCAUCAUUAUCAUCGAAUUUUUGACGAAACAUCAAUGAUUAUAAUCGAACAGCAUUCGAAUUCACCUGCCUUCAUUCACUGCCGUUCCUCUCUAGUCAAUCAAAACUACUACGCGAAGUACAUUUCAGUAACCGAGACAACUUCGGAAAGAAGUAAUCUGUAAUGAUAACAUGGACUUCCUUCCAUAAAUUUAGACAUGGCGAAGAGAUUGGUAAAGGUUGGUAACAAAGGAACACGAUGCUUUUUAGCUAUAAGGUGGCGAAGGUGAGCGGACAAACAAUCAUAGAUACAUCUUUCAUGGAUUUUGAAAUAAGAGGAGAGGAACGAAAUGUGGUGGAAUUUCUCAGCAAGAGUAUGACCUUCGCUUUUGUACGUAGGGGUAAUGAGGAUCCAUUUCUGGAGAAUAAGAAAGUGAUACUCUUCGCGCGUUCUUAAAAAAUAUGUAGAAAGGGAGCAUUCUUGAAUUUCCAGGCGUUGAUUGUUGAAUUCGAAACUGUUUCCUUUUGUUUUACUACAGUCUUUUAUUUAUUUACUUUACUGACAGAACCUUGUUCUGUUCUGAAUUCUGGUCUCAGACCUUUGAAAUUGACUAAAAGUUAAACUAAGCGGACUUAUGUAUAACACGAGGUUGGAUAUGAAUGUGGGGACAGAAACAGGUGAAAUAUAUACAGGAAGUAACAAGCAGGCUAGCAUUGAGCGGAGAAAUACUUAGAAUGGUAAAAAUUAGGAAGAAAAGAUGGUUUCAAAUUAACUGAAGCUCAACAGCUUGGUUUGUAGACUCUUCACAACAGCCUUAAAUGAAAUAAAUAUUCAUAUUUAUAUAGUUCGGUGAGGUAGUUGGGAAGCACGGAAAUGUUUCUCUCCACCCAAAGGAUAAGGUUGCUGGGGGCCUGCUAGAGUAAUUAGCAGCAAAAUUCGGAAUGACGACAGCUUGCGGUGGUGGGCAAUGACGAAACGUUUGGAGACAUUUCAUCAUCAAUAAGAUGAUCUGCGAUACUGGACAGCACUAUUAUCCCCGUAUGAAUGUCGUGCCCCUUCCAUCAAGUACGGUUGUGGGGCAAAGGAUUAUUUGGAGAAACCGUGAGAUUGGCAGCAAUAUUUGAGGGCUUACCGGACCAUUGUAGAGCAGACUAGGAUAGAAUAUUAGCUACCUUCGCCGGGGUCUUGGAUGAAGAGCGAAGCGAGGCGCAAAA